AGUGAGAUAUAUUUUUAACACAAAGGAGUAACAAAAAUGAUAUGUUAAAAGAAGAGGAGAUAGAAAUAAAAUACAUAAUUCCUGCAAAAUUAAAUGAAAAGAAGAUAGUGGAGCAUUAAACCUAUUCUGAUUAUGGAGGUCUAGACGAGCAUUAACUAAUUUCUUGCUCACGUCUGGUUUUUGCAAGUCAUUGGCUGAUGCCUCCUUGUUCAUUUAUGCUGAAAAUGGUGUCGCCGCUUAUUUUUUGGUUUAUGUCAAUGAUAUUGUUCUUACUGGCAACCAUUCCCAAUUUUUGGAUCAAUUUAUUCACAAGCUAGCCACUCGGUUUUCCAUUAAGGAUUUGGGUUCUCUCCAUCAUUUUUUGGGAAUUGAGGUCAUUUCUACUCCAUCUGGUGUGUUUCUCUCUCAGCAUCGUCAUAUCAGUGAUCUUUUAUGUCGGUUUAACAUGGAUGGUGCCAAAGAGGUUGCUACUCCUUUUAGUUCCUCUGAGUCUUACUCUCUUGUUGAUGGAUCUUCCAAAGUUGAUGCUGCAUCUUAUCGUAGCCUUGUUGGUUCACUACAGUAUUUGGCAAUUACUAGGCCUGAUAUUUCUUUUGCUGUUAACAAAUUAUCGCAGUUCAUGCAUGCUCCCACGCAAAAACAUCUACAAGCAUUAAAAGAGUACUCAGAUAUUUAAAAGGUUCUGUUCAUCAUGGUUUGUUUCUAAACCGAGAUUGUCCUAUCUCCUUUACAGUCUUCUCUGAUUCUGAUUAGGGUGGUAUUCAGGAUAAUGGGCAUUCUACUACUGCCUAUAUUUUAUAUUUGGGUCUAACAUUAUCUCUUGGCGAUCAGCUCGUCAGAAAUCUGUCUCUCGCUCCUCCACUGAAGCUGAGUACAAAAGCAUUAGCCAAUGCUGCAGUAGAAGUUAUGUGGGUUCAGAAUUUAUUACAUGAAUUAGGUCUCUUGCCAAGACGAGCUUAUCGCUACUCCAACAAAGAGUUGCUGUCAAAGGAAAAAGAGAGGCGGGUAACCAGGAACAGCAAGGAUUCAUGUCCCUGACAACCUAUAUAACACAAGGAGGCAAUCCACCAUUGAACCAUAGCCAGCAGCCAGCCUCACACUUCUUUAUUUCAUUCUGCCAAUAUAUAAAGAAGCCCCCAGUGAUCCGACAAAACCUGCAAUGGCAUGCCGCUGAUCAUCAACUAUAGUUUGCUUCAUGUGUGUGUGUGUGUGUUUUUUUUUUUUUUUCACUUCCUGACCAGACUAAACAGUUUUAUUGGAGGGAGAUUACAAAUAAUUCGCAGAUUAACAUCUAACAAAGCAAGUUUUAUCUUUGAUGUAGUUGGAAUCUUUAGUUCAUAGAUGCAAUCAAGUUCAACUUACAAGUUUAAA